rnacentral:lncRNA from 1 species
UUUGGAAACUAAUGUUGCAAUACUUCCAACUCAGUUUAAAACAAAAGAAGUUCAAUCUAAAGGUGUUGCUUCUAAGCAAUGUUGUUAAGAUUGGGAUAGAUCAUAAAUCAAAGGGGUCAGAUCAGAUUGGAUCAUGGAUCAUGAGAUUUUUUAGAUGUCUUUCAGUAAGAGAAAUAUUUAAAAACUGAAAAAGUAACAGAUAAAUAAAAAGAGCAAAAAUUUUGAUUACCAGUGAGAACACUGCUGUUUAACAUCACUAUUUAGCAGUAUUUGGUACAUAAAAGUAAGAAAACAGGGUUGAGUUUCCUUAAAAUAAGAAAAGAGAGUUGAGAAAAGUUGAAGAGAGAGAAUAAUAAUGAAUUGAAGAAUUAAAAAAAGGGAAUAAGCUGCUUGCGGUACCUUAUUUUAUUGGAAAACUAGUCGAAGACCCGCGCAACACGAAAAUUAAUUUUUAGAUGUUGUUGUCCUAUUUUUCAGAUGUUGCUGUGUUCUUAUUAUUAUUCGAAUUAUUAUUAAUAAUAAAUUAAUAUUUAAAAAAAUAAUAUUUUUAUUAUUAUUUUAAAAAUAAUAUUUUAUUAUUAAUUUUUUAAAAUUAAUUUUUUAAAAAUAAUAUGUUAUUAUACAAAUAGUAUUUUUAAAUUAUAUAUAUAAAAUAAUACUCUAUGGAGAAGUAAUGUAGUGUUGCCAACUCAGGAAGCCAAAAUCCUCCUAACGCGUCAUGUGUCGGGCUCCGACUUUUCCAUAAAUAUUUUUUUUCUUACGAAGCUUUCCGACCCCCUCCCCUUGAUGCGGGACAACCCUAAAGAAAAGAAAAAGAAAUCAAUCCUAAUGAUCAAGCUCCCUUCUGUUCAUUAACAAUAAAUCACAUCCGAUCAGGGGCAUCAUUAUUCUCAGGACAGACAGUAUAGUUGUCUAUACUAUGCUCAGGAGGCGUGAUUGAUUGAUACGAGAUCAAAGUGAGAUCAAUCUAAAUAAUGCAGAUGAAUGCCAUUCUAGAGAUCAGUAAACAACUAGCAAUAGGAAAGUCUAUAAACAGAUAGCAAAAAUUAAACAUGCUCACAAGUAAAUGCAAAAAAAAAUAUGAAUGGAAUGAGAGAGAAUGAAACAUGAAACCCGUGAGAAAAUCUGAGAAGAUGAUAAGAAUCCGAAUCAUGGUAGUUAAGAAAUUAUUCUGAUUAGGGUUCUUAAUUUAACCAAAUAGAUCCGUCGAUAAAGAACUAGGUCUUUACCAAUAUUGGAUCUAACAAAAAAUGAAAAUUAAAGAUCAACUGAGAAGAAACGAAGGUCCUUGACAGUAUAUGAUCUGUAAAAUAAAAGAUCACUCUUUUCUCUCAGCACGAUAGAUGGAAAUUCUGGAGGAGACAGAUCUUCUCUUGGUGGGAUAGACUUGCGUGGGUAGAUGGAGUUGAAUCGGGGUCGUAGGAACACUGGAUCUCAAAUAGAUGAAGGUUAAAAAAAUAAGAUAGAAAGUGGACCUCACACCCUCCCCUUGUGGGGCGAUUUUGGGUCUCACACCUUCCUCUCGAAGCGAUUGAUACAAGUAUUUGGGAGUUUGUAAAAUCAUUCAUUGUUUUCUUCAUAAAAAAUACAAAGGUUUAUAUAGGACCUUAGGGGUCCUAUUUCUUUUGAAAUCCCUUACCUUUUACGAGGAAGAAAUCAGUCCUCCCACAAAAAAGUAAAGCAUUAUAUCUAGUUUUCAAACAAAGUAAUCUAUCAUGGGAAAGAAAUCAGUCUUCAACAAAAUAAGUAGCUAACAACUCUCAAGAAAUCUUAGAGAAGAAAUGGAACUCCAUGUGGGCGCUUGAUACUUGGCACAACUUGGCAUGAGAAUCCUUGGGCACGACACAUGCUCCUUGGGCGUGUGGAGAGUGGUGGCUCCAAAGGUGACGUGGACAAAUCCAAGUAUGGUCCUAUGGAUCCAAAGCUAAAUACAUCAAAAAUUUAUUGACUGAAAAUAAAUAACUGAAGUAGAGUCAAUCUAAUGGGGCUUCUUCGAUCCAAAUCGAAUCUAAAUCAUGUCGCUGACUUCUGAUAGCUCUGGUGUCCGCACCAAUUCUCUCGAGGUGGAAAAAACUCGAUCCUAUCGAGUGUGGGUCGAUUUCACUCUGGUGAUGCUCAAGCAGAUCAAGAUCAAUGCGUUGUAGCUCUUCUUGAGUGAUCCAGGUAUCUUCAGACGUCAGUCGAUCUCGCCAUCUGACUAAAUACCACUGAUAGCCUCGACUCCAGGUGGAGAGGAUCUGCUCAUUUAAAAUUCUCUCAAUCUGAUUAUGUUUUGCUGACAUUUUGGUUGGUGGACACUCAGGGACAGAUUUGCUCUCAAAGGUUGGUUCAAACUCAAACGGC